GUGCUCGCUUCAGCAGCACAUAUUCUAACAUUGGAACAGUACAGAGAAGAUUAGCAUGGCCCCUGUGCACGGAUGAAGUUUGACAGGUGACUGGGGGAAGAUGCUAGU